AGAGCUCAAUGCCAGUCGAGGAGAUCAAACACGGAAGAAAUCGAGAAGAGGCUAUCGCGAAAGCUGGACGAGACAAAGAAGUUUGUCCAACUGGGAAGUAUCUCUGUGGAAAGCUCUAGAAGAACAACGAUCGGUAUCCUCUCCCGAGAGAGGACACCUUAUGCAACUCUAGAGUUUUGUACGAGGGACUGCUGCGAGUGAUCGUUGGCGAGCACGUAAAAGAAUGGAGCGUGGAGGACGUUUUACCUCUGAUGAAAAUUCUCAGCACGAAACUCUUUCUCGAGAGCUGCGAGAAAUGGUUUGCGCUGCUCUCGACAUCUUGACGCCAGAGCUGCGCAGCCAGUUUGAAGAUCAGAUGGAGUCUUUCAAGACACUCCUCCAAAAGCAUUGUCUAGCAUCAAAGUCACGAACCACAAUAAAGAUGGAAAAAGGUGUAAUGAACGGCUGAGAUUUGCUAGA